UUGAUCAUAUAAGCGCUGCCGUUGUCGGGAAAGGAAGACCUCAGUGGAAAAGUAAUUCACCGCACGACUUUCUGAAUCUAGCUUAAGGUAUGAAAUGCUCUUUGUUUGCCGUGUUUCUGUUGACAAUUUGUGUCAUUUUGGUGGAGCCAGCUCCGAGGCAGAUUGAUGAAGCUGACGCAUUUUUCCGCGACUGGGUGUUGGUCCGCAGGAAACCAUGCAAACCAAAUUGGGCCGAGUGUAACGAUUCCAGAGAGUGCUGUGGCGGUUCAGCUGCAAUCUGUUCAUUCAACGGCAAGAAAAAACAGUGUUACGUUUAUUAAUCUUGACUUCCACUCCCAGCUAGAGUCUGCUUUGUAAUAUUUAAAAUGUCCUUGACGUAGACAAUUAGACACGUUUUAUUUACAUAUUAGUUGUUCGAGCCAUUUAGCUGCACGUCAGAGAAAUUUUGUCUCUCGUGCGCCUUUUUUAGAGGUUUAGAGUGUAUUGGUAAAGGACAAAAAUAUAAAUAAAUCAGCGAUUUGAAAUUCACGUUAA